rnacentral:rRNA from 1 species
GGACGAACGCUGGCGGCGUGCCUAACACAUGCAAGUCGAGCGAGGAGAUCCUUCGGGAUGAUCCUAGCGGCGGACGGGUGAGUAACACGUGGGCAACCUGCCUCAUAGAGAGGAAUAGCCUUCCGAAAGGGAGAUUAAUACCUCAUAACAUUGCAGUUUCGCAUGGAACAGCAAUUAAAGGAGUAAUCCGCUAUGAGAUGGGCCCGCGGCGCAUUAGCUAGUUGGUGAGGUAACGGCUCACCAAGGCGACGAUGCGUAGCCGACCUGAGAGGGUGAUCGGCCACAUUGGGACUGAGACACGGCCCAGACUCCUACGGGAGGCAGCAGUGGGGAAUAUUGCACAAUGGGGGAAACCCUGAUGCCAGCAACGCCGCGUGAGUGAUGACGGCCUUCGGGUUGUAAAGCUCUGUCUUCAGGGACGAUAAUGACGGUACCUGAGGAGGAGGCCACGGCUAACUACGUGCCAGCCGCCGC